rnacentral:rRNA from 1 species
UUGAGAGUUUGAUCCUGGCUCAGAACGAACGCUGGCGGCAUGCCUAACACAUGCAAGUCGAGCGGUAGAGAGAAGCUUGCUUCUCUUGAGAGCGGCGGACGGGUGAGUAAUGCCUAGGAAUCUGCCUGGUAGUGGGGGAUAACGUUCGGAAACGGACGCUAAUACCGCAUACGUCCUACGGGAGAAAGCAGGGGACCUUCGGGCCUUGCGCUAUCAGAUGAGCCUAGGUCGGAUUAGCUAGUUGGUGGGGUAAUGGCUCACCAAGGCGACGAUCCGUAACUGGUCUGAGAGGAUGAUCAGUCACACUGGAACUGAGACACGGUCCAGACUCCUACGGGAGGCAGCAGUGGGGAAUAUUGGACAAUGGGGGCAACCCUGAUCCAGCCAUGCCGCGUGUGUGAAGAAGGCCUUUUGGUUGUAAAGCACUUUAAGCAGGGAGGAGAGGCUAAUGGUUAAUACCCAUUAGAUUAGACGUUACCUGCAGAAUAAGCACCGGCUAACUCUGUGCCAGCAGCCGC